GUGCUCGCUUUGGCAGCACAUAUACUAAAAUUGGAAUGAUACAGAGAAGAUUAGCAUGGCCCCUGCGCAAGGAUGACACGCAAGAAUGAAUAAGUGACUAAGAGACAA
ensembl:snRNA U6 U6 spliceosomal RNA